rnacentral:rRNA from 1 species
AGAGUUUGAUCCUGGCUCAGGACGAACGCUGGCGGCGUGCCUAAUACAUGCAAGUCGAGCGAGCUUGCCUAGAUGAUUUUAGUGCUUGCACUAAAUGAAACUAGAUACAAGCGAGCGGCGGACGGGUGAGUAACACGUGGGUAACCUGCCCAAGAGACUGGGAUAGCACCUGGAAACAGAUGCUAAUACCGGAUAACAACACUAGACGCAUGUCUAGAGUUUGAAAGAUGGUUCUGCUAUCACUCUUGGAUGGACCUGCGGUGCAUUAGCUAGUUGGUAAGGUAACGGCUUACCAAGGCAAUGAUGCAUAGCCGAGUUGAGAGACUGAUCGGCCACAUUGGGACUGAGACACGGCCCAAACUCCUACGGGAGGCAGCAGUAGGGAAUCUUCCACAAUGGACGAAAGUCUGAUGGAGCAACGCCACGUGAGUGAAGAAGGGUUUCGGCUCGUAAAGCUCUGUUGGUAGUGAAGAAAGAUAGAGGUAGUAACUGGCCUUUAUUUGACGGUAAUUACUUAGAAAGUCACGGCUAACUACGUGCCAGCAGCCGCGGUAAUACGUAGGUGGCAAGCGUUGUCCGGAUUUAUUGGGCGUAAAGCGAGUGCAGGCGGUUCAAUAAGUCUGAUGUGAAAGCCUUCGGCUCAACCGGAGAAUUGCAUCAGAAACUGUUGAACUUGAGUGCAGAAGAGGAGAGUGGAACUCCAUGUGUAGCGGUGGAAUGCGUAGAUAUAUGGAAGAACACCAGUGGCGAAGGCGACUCUCUGGUCCGCAACUGACGCUGAGGCUCGAAAGCAUGGGUAGCGAACAGGAUUAGAUACCCUGGUAGUCCAUGCCGUAAACGAUGAGUGCUAAGUGUUGGGAGGUUUCCGCCUCUCAGUGCUGCAGCUCACGCAUUAAGCACUCCGCCUGGGGA